rnacentral:rRNA from 1 species
AGUUUGAUCAGUGGCUCAGGACGAACGCUGGCGGCGUGCUUAACACAUGCAAGUCGAACGGUGAACCAGAGCUUGCUCUGGGGAUCAGUGGCGAACGGGUGAGUAACACGUGGGCAACCUGCCCCAGACUCUGGGAUAACCUCGGGAAACCGAUGCUAAUACCGGAUACGACCACUUCGGACAUCCGACGGUGGUGGAAAGUUUUUCGGUCUGGGAUGGGCCCGCGGCCUAUCAGCUAGUUGGUGGGGUAAUGGCCUACCAAGGCGACGACGGGUAGCCGGCCUGAGAGGGCGACCGGCCACACUGGAACUGAGACACGGUCCAGACUCCUACGGGAGGCAGCAGUGGGGAAUAUUGCACAAUGGGCGAAAGCCUGAUGCAGCGACGCCGCGUGAGGGACGACGGCCUUCGGGUUGUAAACCUCUUUCAGCAGGGACGAAGCGAAAGUGACUGUACCUGCAGAAGAAGCACCGGCUAACUACGUG